UACGGAGGAUGCGAGCGUUAUCCGGAUUUAUUGGGUUUAAAGGGUGCGUAGGCGGAUCGUUAAGUCAGUGGUCAAAUUGAGGGGCUCAACCCCUUCCCGCCAUUGAAACUGGCGAUCUUGAGUGGAAGAGAAGUAUGCGGAAUGCGUGGUGUAGCGGUGAAAUGCAUAGAUAUCACGCAGAACCCCGAUUGCGAAGGCAGCAUGCCGGCUUCCGACUGACGCUGAAGCACGAAAGCGUGGGGAUCGAACAGG
rnacentral:rRNA from 1 species